rnacentral:piRNA from 1 species
UGAAAAUGUGCAUAAUCAUUAGUUACCAGGA